rnacentral:rRNA from 1 species
UACAGAGGGUGCAAGCGUUGUUCGGAAUUAUUGGGCGUAAAGGGAGUGUAGGCGGCUCUUUAAGUCUUCUGUGAAAUCUACGGGCUUAACCUGUAACGUGCAGAGGAUACUGAGGAGCUUGAGUGUCGGAGAGGAUAGUGGAAUUCCCGGUGUAGAGGUGAAAUUCGUAGAGAUCCGGAGGAACACCAGCGGCGAAGGCGGCAUCCUGGACUGGUACUGACGCUCAGGAGCGAAAGCGUGGGGAGCGAUCCGG